AUUGAACGCUGGCGGCAGGCCUAACACAUGCAAGUCGAACGGUAACAGGAAACAGCUUGCUGUUUCGCUGACGAGUGGCGGACGGGUGAGUAAUGUCUGGGAAACUGCCUGAUGGAGGGGGAUAACUACUGGAAACGGUAGCUAAUACCGCAUAACGUCGCAAGACCAAAGAGGGGGACCCUCGGGCCUCUUGCCAUCGGAUGUGCCCAGAUGGGAUUAGCUUGUUGGUGGGGUAACGGCUCACCAAGGCGACGAUCCCUAGCUGGUCUGAGAGGAUGACCAGCCACACUGGAACUGAGACACGGUCCAGACUCCUACGGGAGGCAGCAGUGGGGAAUAUUGCACAAUGGGCGCAAGCCUGAUGCAGCCAUGCCGCGUGUAUGAAGAAGGCCUUCGGGUUGUAAAGUACUUUCAGCGGGGAGGAAGGGAGUAAAGUUAAUACCUUUGCUCAUUGACGUUACCCGCAGAAGAAGCACCGGCUAACUCCGUGCCAGCAGCCGCGGUAAUACGGAGGGUGCAAGCGUUAAUCGGAAUUACUGGGCGUAAAGCGCACGCAGGCGGUUUGUUAAGUCAGAUGUGAAAUCCCCGGGCUCAACCUGGGAACUGCAUCUGAUACUGGCAAGCUUGAGUCUCGUAGAGGGGGGUAGAAUUCCAGGUGUAGCGGUGAAAUGCGUAGGGAUCUGGAGGAAUACCGGUGGCGAAGGCGGCCCCCUGGACGAAGACUGACGCUCAGGUGCGAAAGCGUGGGGAGCAAACAGGAUUAGAUACCCUGGUAGUCCACGCCGUAAACGAUGUCGACUUGGAGGUUGUGCCCUUGAGGCGUGGCUUCCGGAGCUAACGCGUUAAGUCGACCGCCUGGGGAGUACGGCCGCAAGGUUAAAACUCAAAUGAAUUGACGGGGGCCCGCACAAGCGGUGGAGCAUGUGGUUUAAUUCGAUGCAACGCGAAGAACCUUACCUGGUCUUGACAUCCACGGAAGUUUUCAGAGAUGAGAAUGUGCCUUCGGGAACCGUGAGACAGGUGCUGCAUGGCUGUCGUCAGCUCGUGUUGUGAAAUGUUGGGUUAAGUCCCGCAACGAGCGCAACCCUUAUCCUUUGUUGCCAGCGGUCCGGCCGGGAACUCAAAGGAGACUGCCAGUGAUAAACUGGAGGAAGGUGGGGAUGACGUCAAGUCAUCAUGGCCCUUACGACCAGGGCUACACACGUGCUACAAUGGCGCAUACAAAGAGAAGCGACCUCGCGAGAGCAAGCGGACCUCAUAAAGUGCGUCGUAGUCCGGAUUGGAGUCUGCAACUCGACUCCAUGAAGUCGGAAUCGCUAGUAAUCGUGGAUCAGAAUGCCACGGUGAAUACGUUCCCGGGCCU
rnacentral:rRNA from 1 species